UACGUAGGCAGCAAGCGUUGUUCGGAGUUACUGGGCGUAAAGGGUGCGUAGGCGGUUGUUUAAGUUUGGUGUGAAAUCUCCCGGCUCAACUGGGAGGGUGCGCCGAAUACUGAAUGACUAGAGUGCGGGAGAGGAGAGUGGAAUUCCUGGUGUAGCGGUGAAAUGCGUAGAUAUCUGGAGGAACACCGGUGGCGAAGGCGGCGUCCUGGACCAACACUGACACUGAUGAGCGAAAGCCAGGGGAGCAAACGGG
rnacentral:rRNA from 1 species